ACCUUAUUUGAUUUUCUUCGGAACUGAAGAUUUGGUGAUUGAGUGGCGGACGAGUGAGUAACGCGUGGGUAACCUACCCUGUACAGGGGGAUAACAGUCAGAAAUGACUGCUAAUACCGCAUAAGACCACGGUACCGCAUGGUACAGUGGUAAAAACUCCGGUGGUAUGAGAUGGACCCGCGUCUGAUUAGCCAGUUGGCGGGGUGACGGCCCACCAAAGCGACGAUCAGUAGCCGACCUGAGAGGGUGACCGGCCACAUUGGGACUGAGACACGGCCCAAACUCC
rnacentral:rRNA from 1 species